GGGGUGGUAGCUCAGUUGGUAGAGCACCGGACUUUUAAUCCGUUGGUCCCGGGUUCGAGCCCCGGCCACCCCACCA
rnacentral:tRNA from 1 species